GAUGAACGCUAGCGGCAGGCUUAACACAUGCAAGUCGAGGGGUAGAAGGAGCUUGCUCCUUUGAGACCGGCGCACGGGUGCGUAACGCGUAUGCAAUCUACCUUUUGCAGAGGGAUAGCCCAGAGAAAUUUGGAUUAAUACCUCAUAGUAUGUGAGGAUGGCAUCAUUUUCACAUUAAAGUCACAACGGCAAAGAUGAGCAUGCGUCCCAUUAGCUUGUUGGUAAGGUAACGGCUUACCAAGGCAACGAUGGGUAGGGGUCCUGAGAGGGAGAUCCCCCACACUGGUACUGAGACACGGACCAGACUCCUACGGGAGGCAGCAGUGAGGAAUAUUGGACAAUGGGCGCAAGCCUGAUCCAGCCAUGCCGCGUGCAGGAUGACGGUCCUAUGGAUUGUAAAGCUCUUUCACCGGUGAAGAUAAUGACGGUACCGUAAGAAUAAGCACCGGCUAACUACGUGCCAGCAGCCGCGGUAAAGU
rnacentral:rRNA from 1 species